rnacentral:lncRNA from 1 species
GAGACUGCGUUAAACUAGGAUGUGUGUGUGUGUGUGUGUGUGUGAGGAAGAAAUGAAUUCUCCUUAAUUAAUUUAUAACUUUGUUCUUCCUUGCAUCACUUCUUUAGUUACUCCAAAGAAGAGGAAAAUUUAGGAGAGCCUGCAUGGAGCGGAGGUCAUGAGGAUCAAGGUCUAGGAAUGGAGAAAUUGAUAAACUGGUAAACUAUCUUAUCUUUCUAUACUCGUGGAUUCGAGGAAAUGUGAGAGUAGGGAUCUUUUACUAAGUUUCUGUAAAGUGGGUUUAGGGUUUCAAUGUUUGAAUGACUUCGAUUUAACUAAUAUAUGGUUGUCGUGCUUAGCUGCUAGGACAAUGGAGGCUUUGGCAUUUGGAAACACUAAGCUGAUAAGGAUGAAUGAUGUUCAAGUGAGUUUUUGUACUCUACCUUUGUGUGAUCGAUGAUGUUACGUCAUUUGCUUGAACUACAUUCAUGUCUGCUCUGAGUCGUGUCUAAGACAAUGGUUGGGUAUGAACAUAGAAAAUGAAUAAGUUGUGUAUGCAUAAUAUUGUAAGCGUGUACUUUUGUAAGUUUAUUUGCUGAAUGAUACUUGGUUGUGAUUUGACAAAUAGAUGGAUGACAUACUGUAUGUUAUAGUAACUAGUGCUAUGAAAUGUAUGAAAAUACGUGUUUAUAUUUUAUGCGGAGUAUAGAGGAAAUUUACCUUGAUGGGUAGAUAAAGUUAUGAAUACUUGGCGGAAUGAAGGAAUAGACAGAUUGAUAAGGGGAUAUAAGGGAGAUUGGUUGCAUCAUGGAAUGGUAUCAACUGGCUCGCUAAAGCGGCAUCGUGACGACGGUUUAUCGACUCUAUGGAGUGACACCACGACGACGGUUAUCGACAAGUCCUCUAGGGCGACACCUUGAAAGGGAUUUAUUUGAUUCCUCAAAAUCAAAAGCCCGUUAGGACAUUAAAUAAGGGUUCCUGUUGUGUAAGACCAUAGUUGGAUUAUGGUAACAAACGGAGUUUGCCAUAUUGGUGAACGAGGAAGCUGAUAGGGCAAAAAAAGGGAAAUCAUCGUAUGACUCGCACGGUGAAUAGCCUAAUAGGAUGAAUAUGGGUGUUCGAGAAUGCGGGUAAAUGGAAUAGCAGGAAAUCCUGCCAAACUAAGAAGAGAAAACUAGAAGAAGUGUUUGAGAAUACGGGUAAGUCAAUUAAUGAGGGAAUUCGCAAAAUUCCGAUGGAAAGAAAAAUUGGUAUAUACGGUCUUAUCAAGGCAGGGGUAAUAGAAGGGAUAACUUCUUCGAGUAUGAAGUAUUUGCCAUUAUGAGUUCAUCAGUGAGUGGCAAAUAAACUAGCAUUGGGUAUGAUAAGUAAGUCCGUGAAGUAGAUUCUAGGCCAAAUGCUUGGAUCAAUAAAGUCUACCAAAGAUUCAUUGAGAAAGAGGACGUAUGACUAGGACUAUGUAACACAUGUUAGUCCAUAAGGGCUAUCAGACGAGGAAGUUCGCCAAGAGCUACCUUGGGCAGACAGUCCGUUGAGAAGUAGGAAAGUAAAUGGUCUGUUAGGAACUAUCCAUAAACUUCAAUUUUCUUAGAAGAUUGGACAAAGGCAAACAAAUAUUUUAAGCCUACAUUACAAGAUACAAAUCCACCAGGAAAAAGGGUAUGUUUAUUCAGUCAACUUACUAUCACGAUUAUACUAUGAAUUAGGACUAGAGAAGGUUUCCUUCCUUAUAGAUGGAUCACAAUAAGGCUAAGCAAAAAGAAGGUAUUUGUUUAGGGUAAGGUGAAAAAUCCUAGGUUAGUACAGCAUGGGAUGAAUGGAUCAGGGUAAGGAUCCGAAAUUGAGGAAUCAUAACUAGAAGUCAACCAGUGGAAGUCAAUGAACUAUAAAUCCAAGUGUGCAGUUAAUUGUGAAAAUUAAGCUCGCUAAAAUAAAAAUGAGUCUAAGAUGAGGAGGAAUCAGGUCAAGACCAUAGGGGAUCACUGUUGUUGAAGGACACAUUCACGUAUGAAGUAAAUGAUAAGUUUGCCAACGGGGAGUAUUAGAAAAGGGCAAGGCGUCGACUAUGCUGGUAAAUCAGUGAAAUACCCAUAGACAAACAGAGAGUUUAAAAUUUUUGCCUCUAAUUUUUGAUUCUUGAGGAAUAUGAAAUAUUUUUGUUGCAUUCUUUUACAAAACCUCACUAAGUUCAAUUGAACUUAUGAAUUUACUAUUUGCUUGCAUGAAAAAUGUUUUGACUCAGAAUUUGAGUGGAGGGACCAAGCCAGACACUACCAAAUUUGAAGGAUGGGAGUAGAAGUUGUUCAUGUGUAUAGAGGGGCUUCAUUAGAGGCCAUGCCUCGGGGAUUAAAUUGGAUGUAUCAGCAUUAUAGACCUAAAGUAGAAUCGUAAAUAUUGCUAAAUUUUCUAAUGUAGUAAAUUUAUAAGAAUUUUAAUUUCGGAUUAUAUGGAUUAUAACUAAAGUUAAAUUUUAUACUUUGAUAGAGCUAAAAUAUUUAAAGAAGUCAGUCUAGAAAUCUUGUUAAGUUAUUCGGGUCAAUUGUGACAUUCAAUACCCGAACCUGGUGACCGGGUCGAGUAUAGGGUGUUACACACUCCACCUUUACUUGUCUAAAUUCAGAAUCCCAUGCUAUCUUUAGACCUUCUAAAAUAACUUUAGCCUCAAUAUUAAACAGUAAUUCCUCCCCAGUUUGCAUAGUGAAUUCAUUAAUCCAUCUAGCACAAUGAUCUCGGAACACCUUUCCAAUCGAAGCAGAACCAGUAGGAACUGAAAUUGCACCAUCAAUGUUGAGUUUUAUCCACCCUAGUUCUGGUGCCACCCAAGAAUCGCCUACUACUCUCUGUACACGAUAGAUCUCAUUCGACUUCGAAUUCAAAAUGCUUUUGGUCGAAGCCUUUACUAUGGUAACAACAUCUUCAACAUUGCCAUGACUAUUAUUGAAUAUAAAAUUGUUAAAAUUCUUCCAUAAAAGCUAGCACGAUAUUGCAAAUAAAGUCGGCCACUCAUUCUCAUUCUCUACAUAUUCUUCUUGGUUUGUAAGGUUCCUUACUGAUUAACAGAGAAAAAC